UACGUAGGGUGCAAGCGUUGUCCGGAAUUAUUGGGCGUAAAGAGCUCGUAGGCGGAUUGUCGCGUCGGCUGUGAAAACCUGGGGCUCAACCCCGGGCCUGCAGCCGAUACGGGCAAGCUAGAAUUCGGUAGGGGAGACUGGAAUUCCUGGUGUAGCGGUGAAAUGCGCAGAUAUCAGGAGGAACACCGGUGGAGAAGGCGGGUCUCUGGGCCGAAAUUGACGCUGAGGAGCGAAAGCGUGGGGAGCAAACAGG
rnacentral:rRNA from 1 species